rnacentral:rRNA from 1 species
AAUGAACGCUGGCGGCAGGCCUAACACAUGCAAGUCGAACGAGAACGCACCUUCGGGUGUUAUUAUAGUGGCAAACGGGUGAGUAACACGUGGGAAUAUACCUUUCAGUUUGGAAUAACAGUUGGAAACGACUGCUAAUACCAAAUACGCUCUACGGAGGAAAGAUUUAUCGCUGAAAGAUUAGCCCGCGGUGGAUUAGCUAGUUGGUAAGGUAAUGGCUUACCAAGGCGACGAUCUAUAGCUGGUUUGAGAGGAUGAUCAGCCACACUGGAACUGAGACACGGUCCAGACUCCUACGGGAGGCAGCAGUGAGGAAUAUUGCGCAAUGGGGGAAACCCUGACGCAGCCAUGCCGCGUGAGUGAUGAAGGCCUUAGGGUUGUAAAGCUCUUUCAGAUAUGAAGAUUAUGACGGUAAUAUCAGAAGAAGCCCCGGCUAACUUCG